rnacentral:rRNA from 1 species
GAAUUUUCCGCAAUGGGCGAAAGCCUGACGCAGCAACGCCGCGUGGAGGAUGAAGGCCUUCGGGUCGUAAACUCCUGUCAGUGGGGACGAAUGCUUCGCAAGAAGUUUGACUGUACCCGCUGAGGAAGCCACGGCUAACUCCGUGCCAGCAGCCGCGGUAACACGGAGGUGGCAAGCGUUGUUCGGAAUUACUGGGCGUAAAGGGCGCGUAGGCGGCUUGGCAAGUCAGAUGUGAAAUCCCCGGGCUUAACUCGGGAAUUGCAUCUGAAACUGCUUUGCUUGAGUCCUGGAGGGGAUAGUGGAAUUCCCAGUGUAGCGGUGAAAUGCGUAGAUAUUGGGAGGAACACCAGAAGCGAAGGCGACGUUCUGGCAUCCAACUGACGCUAAGGCACGAAAGCUAGGGUAGCAAAAGGGAUUAGAUACCCCUGUAGUC